rnacentral:rRNA from 1 species
CCUACGGGCGGCAGCAGUGAGGAAUAUUGGUCAAUGGGCGCGAGCCUGAACCAGCCAAGUAGCGUGAAGGAAGAAGGCUUUCGGGUUGUAAACUUCUUUUCUCAGGGACGAAGCAAGUGACGGUACCUGAGGAAUAAGCCACGGCUAACUACGUGCCAGCAGCCGCGGUAAUACGGGGGGUGCAAGCGUUGUCCGGAAUCAUUGGGCGUAAAGAGUUCGUAGGUGGCACGUUAAGUCUGGUGGUAAAGGCGGAAGCUCAACUUCCGUAGGGCACUGGAUACUGGCGAGCUUGAAUGCGGUAGAGGUAAAGGGAAUUCCUGGUGUAGCGGUGAAAUGCGUAGAUAUCAGGAGGAACAUCGGUGGCGUAAGCGCUUUACUGGGCCGUAAUUGACACUGAGGAACGAAAGCCGGGGUAGCAAAUGGGAUUAGAUACCCGUGUAGUC